rnacentral:rRNA from 1 species
UGGGUGAUCUGCCCUGCACUUUGGGAUAAGCCUGGGAAACUGGGUCUAAUACCGAAUAUGAUCAUGCUCCUCAUGGGGUGUGGUGGAAAGCUUUUGCGGUGUGGGAUGGGCCCGCGGCCUAUCAGCUUGUUGGUGGGGUGAUGGCCCACCAAGGCGACGACGGGUAGCCGGCCUGAGAGGGUGACCGGCCACACUGGGACUGAGACACGGCCCAGACUCCUACGGGAGGCA